UCAAAAAGAGACGGCAACAAAUGAAGAUCAGUCCGGUUGUACGAUGGUGAGAAUAAGACUGAAACUCUUUUAGAUAUACCUGGUAAUGACAUGCGAGGAUCAGUGUUUAAUUUUUCACCGGGAAUUUUUUCUCAAACAAUUCACACCAGUGUUAAAGUCCCUGUUUCCUAAAUCAUCCCAAACAACAAUACACCACUAGAUACAGUGUGAAUUUAUCUGCUAGAUUAUAUCUGAUCAACCCAGAACAAGAUCAUAUCAGUCUGAUACUCUGUGUUUUCCCUCCAAAAACAGUUACAAUAAUAGUGUUAUUAAGAAAAGAAAUGCAGGGUAUAUUUCAGUUUGAACUUUAAUUCAUGGUUGCAGUACAGGUUCCUCUGCACAUCUGUGGUUGGAAAGCGUCGGCAGGGUUACUGCAGCAGUGAAGCCAGACUCAGACCUGCUGCUGGAGGCGGACGAACCCACGUGACACAGGUACAGGAAAUGAUUGUGACGGCACAGUGGAUUUUUAGAGGACAACCAUUGAAGACUUUGGAGAAGCAGGCUCCCAUCUACAGAAGCAGCACAGCAAGUGAAUCACUAAAGUGUGCUCCACUCAGGAGACAGAGGCGUCUCUCUCUUCGGGGAGGAAACAGUGGCGACCUUCCUCUUCUCUGCCGUUACAGCUUCCCCCCCAGGCAGACAUGGAUCGCUGCAGCGCUGUCUGAUGUCCUGCGUGGCCGAG